rnacentral:rRNA from 1 species
GAUGAACGCUGGCGGCGUGCCUAAUACAUGCAAGUCGAGCGAACAGACGAGGAGCUUGCUCCUUCGACGUUCGCGGCGGACGGGUGAGUAACACGUAGGUAACCUACCUAUAAGACUGGGAUAACUUCGGGAAACCGGAGCUAAUACCGGAUAAUAUUUCGAACCGCAUGGUUCGAUAGUGAAAGAUGGCUUUGCUAUCACUUAUAGAUGGACCUGCGCCGUAUUAGCUAGUUGGUAAGGUAACGGCUUACCAAGGCAACGAUACGUAGCCGACCUGAGAGGGUGAUCGGCCACACUGGAACUGAGACACGGUCCAGACUCCUACGGGAGGCAGCAGUAGGGAAUCUUCCGCAAUGGGCGAAAGCCUGACGGAGCAACGCCGCGUGAGUGAUGAAGGUCUUCGGAUCGUAAAACUCUGUUAUUAGGGAAGAACAAACGUGUAAGUAACUGUGCACGUCUUGACGGUACCUAAUCAGAAAGCCACGGCUAACUACGUG